rnacentral:rRNA from 1 species
GACGGAAGGUGCAAGCGUUGCUCGGAAUCACUGGGCGUAAAGCGCACGUAGGUGGUUCGGUAAGUGCGAUGUGAAAGCCCCCGGCCCAACCGGGGAACUGCAUCGCAGACUGCCGAGCUUGAGAGCGGUAGGGGAGACUAGAACUCCUGGUGGAGCGGUGAAAUGCGCAGAUAUCAGGAGGAACACCAAUGGCGAAGGCAGCUCGCUGGGACGUGACUGACGCUGAGACGCGAAAGCGUGGGGAGCAAACAGG